AUUGAACGCUGGCGGCAGGCCUAACACAUGCAAGUCGAGCGAGCGGCGGACGGGUGAUUAAUGUAUACGGACUGCCCGAUAGAGGGGGCUAACUACUGGAAACGGUAGCUAAUACCGCAUACUAUCCGAUAACCCAUAUGGGAUUAGCUAGUAGGUGGGGUAAUGGCUCACCUAGGCGACGAUCCCUAGCUGGUCUGAGAGGAUGAUCAGCAACACUGGGACUGAGACACGGCCCAGACUCCUACGGAGGCAGCAGUGGGGAAUAUUGCACAAUGGGCGCAAGCCUGAUGCAGCCAUGCCGCGUGUAUGAAGAAGGCCGUAGGGUUGUAAAGUACUUUCAGUCGGGAGGCGUUACCGACAGAAGAAGCACCGGCUAACUACGUGCCAGCCGCCGCGGUAAUUC
rnacentral:rRNA from 1 species